UACAGAGGGUGCAAACGUUGUUCGGAAUUACUGGGCGUAAAGCGCGUGUAGGCGGUGCGGUAAGUCGGGUGUGAAAGCCCUGGGCUCAACCCAGGAAGUGCAUUCGAUACUACCGUACUAGAGUCCCGGAGAGGUUGGUGGAACUCUCGGUGUAGAGGUGAAAAUUCGUAGAUAUCGAGAAGAACACCGGUGGCGAAAGGCGGCCAAUUGGACGGUGACUGACGCUAAGACGCGAAA
rnacentral:rRNA from 1 species